AGUUAGUAUUAAACAUCUUUAGUUGAGUUGCAAAUGGAAUAUAGGGUGAAAUAAAUAAAUUUAAUGUACAAAGGAAUUUACACAAGCAUAAAUAUUGAAUGUUAAUGUUGGAUGGAAUUGUACACAAAAUUUACAAAUGUGCAUGUCACUAUCAGCUCUAUCAUGGUCCUGUAUAGUAAUAAUGUCACUAAGAUGUAGUCAUGUAUUAACUCAUUGCUGCCGAGUGUCCCUAAUCUUCUAACUG
rnacentral:lncRNA from 1 species